GAUGAACGCUAGCGGCAGGCUUAACACAUGCAAGUCGAGGGGUAGAGGAAGCUUGCUUCCUUGAGACCGGCGCACGGGUGCGUAACGCGUAUGCAACCUACCUUUUACAGAGGGAUAGCCCAGAGAAAUUUGGAUUAAUACCUCAUAGUAUAUGUUUUUCGCAUGUUAGACAUAUUAAAGUUCUAACGGUAAAAGAUGGGCAUGCGUCCUAUUAGCUAGAUGGUAAGGUAACGGCUUACCAUGGCAACGAUAGGUAGGGGUCCUGAGAGGGAGAUCCCCCACACUGGUACUGAGACACGGACCAGACUCCUACGGGAGGCAGCAGUGAGGAAUAUUGGACAAUGGGCGCAAGCCUGAUCCAGCCAUGCCGCGUGCAGGAAGAAGCAUCUAUGGUGUGUAAACUGCUUUUGUACGGGAAGAAACACUCCCUCGUGAAGGAGCUUGACGGUACCGUAAGAAUAAGGAUCGGCUAACUCCGUGCCAGCCGCCGCAGUAAUAC
rnacentral:rRNA from 1 species